UCCCUUUCUCUGGGACCAUACGCCAGGCACCUAUUACUGUCAGGUAAUGGCUCCCUUUCUCUGGGACCAUUCACCAGGCACCUAUUCCUGCCAGGCAGAAUAGGGAAGAUGUUCAAGGGAUGCCCCCAUCAUCCCUUGCUACAGGAACCCCAUUGGGGGGAUUUUCAUGGUAAUGGCCCCUUUUCUUUCUCCUUUUCUCUCGGGAACCAUUCACCAGGCCUAUGCUGUCAGGCAGAAUAGGCACCAGGCAACUGUUACUGCCAGGCAUAACAGGGAAGGUAUACAAGGGAUGCAAUGCCGGGGGACGCCCCCAUCACCCCUUGCUAUAGGAACCCCACAGUAGGAACAACGGGUAGGACGCUACCCUAGGUUCAGGGGGGAUUUUUCAUGGUAAUGGACCCGUUUCUUUUGUCUCUCUUGGAGUUACAAUGGCAAUUUUCAUCUCCUUUUGAGCCUUGUGACUGGGAAACAAAGAAAUCUUUAAAGAGUAAAAGGCUCCACCCCUGGGAGCCCCAACUUUGGGUUUCUGGGCCUGAUCACCCCAGCAACCCUAAGUGGGGGUGCCCUCUCUUGACAGUCGACUCAUUGAGUAUUUUAGUCACCUGCUGAGUCGGUUAUGAGGGUAGGAGACCUGUGAUUUAUUCUGUGAACUGUCGUGCUAGCGUAGUGUGCCCCAGUACAGGAACUGUUGUGUGACUCUUAUCUUGAUAACCCUCUGGAAGAGGCCAUGAGGGUGAGGUCUGAUCUCUUCUUUUCCUUUCUUUGUCUGUUUUGCUCAUCAUCUCUUCUGUUGUCACUAAGUCAAGGUUAAGUUCAGGCUAGACCUGAGCAGAGCCUUGACCUUCUGUAAAAUUGGAAAAAUAAGCCUUUUGCCAGGGAUUUAACUCUCAAACCUGGCUCUGGGAGCCCCAUCCUCCAGCCAGUUCCAGGCCUUUGCCUCCUGCUUCCCUACCUCAACUUUGCUGGCUCAGAGACAAAGUGCCCAGGCUGAGCGGGACUUGACUAAAUCUUAUAACUACGUCCACACCCGCAAUCGGCCUCUGCACACCCACAAUCGGCCUCUGUACCCUUUCUCCAGCUGCUGUCAGUCAGACACUGGCUUUACCGCCACGUGGAAGGCUCCUAAGUAUCCCCAGAGACCCACCCUGUGGAUGCAUUCUAACUCCAUCUGGGAGAAAAUUUGAGGGGUUUCUCUGUGCCUUUGUGAUGCAGUUGGACAGGUAGAUCAACCUGGAAUGUAAUUUGAGUUACAAUCCAGUUUCUGGGAAAUCAAGAGCAACUGUCCUUAGAAAAUCCUUGCAAGACUGGAAAUACAGCUCUAGAGGCAGUUCAGAUUCCACCUAGUUCCUUUAUCACGAAAAGGAUUAUCAUCUCCCCUCUCCAGGAACUACUAUCUAGCCCAUCACUAAUUCCUAAAACUGAAGAAAAAAAGAAAGAAAGAAAGAAAGAAAGAAAGAGGAGGGGAGAGGCAAAACGGCCAUAAGCGUGCCCUUGCAAAAAAUCUAGCAUCUUGAGUAUCUUCUCCACAAAUAUUGUUUCACCUCCUGGACCACCACUCGUCAAAUGAUUCUCUCGUCCCCAGAGGCUCUGGAUGCCUUGUCAGCCUUGGACUCCACGGGUGCAGUCUUCCGGUCCGCUGAACCCCCUACCUAUACCUAUGGCCCCAUUUAGGGACAGCUCUACGACCUUGUACAGCCGGAAGUAGUUACAGAAGACUGACCGUCGUCCAUAUCCCCAAAAGAUUUCGGGGCCAAAUGGGUUCAGGGG
ensembl:lncRNA